rnacentral:rRNA from 1 species
GACGAGGGGUCCAAGCGUUGUUCGGAAUUAUUGGGCGUAAAGCGGGUGUAGGUGGAUCUAUAAGUCAGGAGUGAAAGCCCCGAGCUCAACUUGGGAAGUGCUUUUGAUACUGCAGAUCUUGAAUGUGGGAGAGGAUCGUGGAAUUCCAGGUGUAGUGGUGAAAUACGUAGAUAUGCGGAGGAACACCGAUGGCGAAGGCAAUCCCCUGGACCUGUACUGACGCUCAUGCACGAAAGCGUGGGGAGCAAACAGG